CAAGGAACCCUGGGGACCUCCAGCCAAGAUCCAGAAAGAAGCCUGUGCCUUCAGCCACGGAUCCUCAAAUAAAAGAAUUCUGCCAACAACCCCAAUGAGCUUGGAAGCAAAUUUUUCCCAGCCAAGUCUCCAGAGGAGAAUGCAGACCAACUAACAUCUUGGUUGCAACAUCUUGACUCCACAGGCAGAACACUCAGGGAUCAAACUUGGAACCUUGUGCUUGCAAGGCAGGCAGCAGAACCACUGAGUUAAAUCCCCAGCCCUGAGUACUGGGGAUCAAACUCAGAACCUUGCACUUGUGAGACAGGCAUGGCACCGCUGAGCUAAAUCCCUGGCUCAUUUGAUACCUUUAUAGAACAUUAGUAUUUCUUUUGUGAAAUACUUGUUCCUAAUUUUUGGC
ensembl:lncRNA